GAUGAAGAACGCAGUGAAAUGCGAUAAGUAAUGUGAAUUGCAGAAUUCAGUGAAUCAUCGAAUCUUUGAACGCACAUUGCGCCCCUUGGUAUUCCAUGGGGCAUGCCUGUUCGAGCGUCAUUUGUACCUUCAAGCUCUGCUUGGUGUUGGGUGUUUGUCUCGCCUCUGCGUGUAGACUCGCCUCAAAAUAAUUGGCAGCCGGCGUAUUGAUUUCGGAGCGCAGUACAUCUCGCGCUUUGCACUCAUAACGACGACGUCCAAAAGUACAUUUUUACACUCUUGACCUCGGAUCAGGUAGGGAUACCCGCUGAACUUAAGCAUAUCAAUAAGCGGAGGA
rnacentral:misc_RNA from 1 species